GGGGCAUGCCUUACACAUGCAAGUCGAGCGACAGCACGAGAGCAAUCCUGGUGGCGAGUGGCGAACGGGGUGAGUAAAGUAUCGGAACGUGCCCAGUCGUGGGGGAUAACGUAGCGAAAGUUACGCUAAUACCGCAUACGAUCUAUGGAUGAAAGCGGGGGAUCGCAAGACCUCUCGCGAUUGGAGCGGCCGAUAUCAGAUUAGGUAGUUGGUGGGGUAAAGGCUCACCAAGCCGACGAUCUGUAGCUGGUCUGAGAGGACGACCAGCCACACUGGGACUGAGACACGGCCCAGACUCCUACGGGAGGCAGCAGUGGGGAAUUUUGGACAAUGGGCGCAAGCCUGAUCCAGCCAUGCCGCGUGCAGGAUGAAGGCCUUCGGGUUGUAAACCGCUUUUGUCCGGAACGAAAAGGUUUUACCUAAUAAGCUGAGCUCAUGACGGUACCGUAAGAAUAAGCACCGGCUAACUACGUGCCAGCAGCCGCGGUAAUACGUAGGGUGCGAGCGUUAAUCGGAAUUACUGGGCGUAAAGCGUGCGCAGGCGGUUAUGUAAGUCAGAUGUGAAAUCCCCGGGCUCAACCUGGGAACUGCAUUAGUGACUGCAUAGCUUGAGUGGCGGCAGAGGGGGAUGGAAUUCCGCGUGUAGCAGUGAAAUGCAUAAUAUGCGGAGGAACACCGAUGGCGAAGGCAAUCUCCUGGGCCUGUACUGACGCUCAGC
rnacentral:rRNA from 1 species